CAGUGAACUCCAACACUAUCACUCUCAUCCACUAUCACCAUUCAAUAAGAAAAUGGGAUUAAUUAAUUCCAAACCAACUCCAACUCCAGCUCUUCCUCCUUCUACUCCAGAAUUACAGAAGCCUUGGAGAUCAGACGAGUGGGGGAAAAAAGAUGAACUACUGACUUAUGUGAAAGAUUUUAAUCCCAGCUCUGAGGUCCUCAGGAUUUUGUUGUAUGGACCAGUUGGUGCUGGGAAAUCAUCCUUCAUCAACUCAGUCCAGAGGCUCCUCUUAGGCCGUAAUGUCAUAUGUGCGCUGGAAAGCUCUGCAUUUACUGGAACAAGCUUCACAAA